rnacentral:lncRNA from 1 species
GUUAUAUUGACUCCAAGAGUAAGUUUUAUAACUUACUCCAAAUCUUGACCUUUGAUUUUAAUUCCAAUUAAUGGCUAAGAUGGAUUGAUAAUAAUUGUUAAGGUGAGACUUAUUCCUUUGUUGCACUUGAAAAUCAAGAUUAUCAAAACAUACUUUAAAUAGAAUAUAUUAACUCUAGCAAUUAAUAGUAAGUACACAAUUAUUUUUUUUACGAAUAAACCAUUUUUUUUUUUUGGACACUUUAAGUACAACAUUUCUUUUUCUUUUUUUUUUUGUUGACAAUACACCAUUUAUUUCAUGUGUGCUCUUUUCUUCUCU